UUGGCAACCCUCUCUGAACAAAUCAUGCAGCAGCAAUAGUGACAACAAAGCUAUUAACUAUAUGAAGGUCAUAUAAAAAACAGAGUUUAAAUCAUCACUGUCUAGAUCAAAAUAUUACUACUUAUUUACUACUAUAUGUAAGCAUCUACAAACCCUAUAUCAGUGUUUACAUCUGUGACUACUUCCUUUGAUUAUAAAAAUUGUAGAGUCACACUGAUCAUAUUUUUGCAGCAGUCCAGUAAAACCAGAGAGGGGGCGUGACGUAUAUCAGCUGACCAGUGCAAGUGCUCGGAGACAACUGCUAGUGGAACCAGCUGAACCUAGCAAGCCAUUUAACUAAGCAAACAUGAUUAAUCAUACAACAAGGAGACAGUCAAAGGCAACAGCAAGUAUAAAAGACUGUCAUUAUUUAAAUUGGAUAUGCUUAAAGCCUCUAUCUGAUUCAGCAAAAGCAGGAUAACAUCUAAUAUAACAAAAUAGCAGAGCAAUGUGCUUUUAUAAUCAUUAUAGAACUUAAAAGCAUCACUUCCAUAUGGCCCAGAACAUAAAAUUAGAUGGCAAAAACAUGCAUGGACUGAACUCUUCAGCAAAAUAAUAUAUGUCUAUUAUGAUUCCAGAUUGUUUAGAAUUAUUUUAACUGCUAGCAAAACAUUAUGUUAAAUAAUAAGAAAAAGGAGAUGACAUAUCAAUGUAUAGAUAUAUGUCUAAGAAGAAAAGAAAGCUUCUCAGUUCAUAUGGAUCAAGUAUGAUCCAUAAACGUGUAUCUCAUAUACAUGUAGAUAAAUCAAUAUGUACAUAGAAAACUCCCUUUGCAUCGGGUAAAUAAUUCCUUCAGUUCUCAAGUAAAAGAAACCUUCUCAGUUUAUAAAUAGAAAACUAUCCAAUGGGUGCUACUGCUACUAAAGGCAUGUCAACCGAUGCUCGAUCACAGAAUAUUUCAAGAAAAUAUGCCAUUUGU
rnacentral:rRNA from 1 species